rnacentral:tRNA from 1 species
GGUGGCUCAGUGGUAGAACGCUUGCCUUGCAUGCAAGAGGCCCUGGGUUCGAUUCCUCAGCACCA